GUAGGAGGCAAGAUGAGGCAUAGGUUCCUCGUCUGAUUCAUUUCCUGAGGAAAUUUUUACUCUCUGCAUCUUUUUCAGUCCUUAUUCAGUCAGAGGGUAGUGAAGUGAUUAAAACAAAAUCCAUGCUUGACACAGGCUGGAAGAAGGAUGCAAAUUCUUUUAAAAUCAGUGCUUAAUUAAUUGCUUAGAAAAACAACCCAUUGCCAAAAAUGUGGGGGGUUGUUUUUAGGCUUUUUUUUUUUCUUCUUUUUUUUUUUUCCAGUUGAGAAAGCUUUUUCAGUGGGGGAAAAAAAAAAAUUAAUUACAGGCAACGGCACACAGCAAAAUGCACGAAGGACAAAUCCGGCACCUUUUGAAAUGAGCCCCUCGGAAGGAAGAAUUAGCAACCUGGACGGAGCUCCAGGCUACUCCAGCUCUCCUGCGGCUGGUGCCCGACCUAAUUCACUUCCAGCUCUGGUCAUUCCUCACAACACUGCAGAAAUCCUAGGAGAGCUGCGUAUCUAACACCUCUGACAAACGCAGACAAUGACCAGAGAAAUUAAAACUGCCAGGAAUAAAAGCUAGCACAAAGAGAGCCCUGAGGAAAGUGCACAACGCCGCCGCCGGGAGGGCCAGCGAGUGGGAGAAGUGGAGCCGCUGUCCAGCUCACCUGCUCUGGAGGGGAAAACAGGGGACCCGCGACCCCAUUCGGGGAUGCAGGCCUGAAAUGCACGGAGACAUCGUGGCAGGUCCCUCGGGUCCCCUUGCUCCACGCCGUGGUUCAAUUUGCAGAGUAGCCCCGACACCUUCAGACACCUCGCAAUGUGACAAGCUGUGUGCUGUCCAGCCAGCAGCACAAGGACCCAAUUGUCCUCUUAUAAAAACAUGAAUUACGCUGAUAUAACCCAGUUCAGUUUCUCUGCCUUCAUCAAGGCAGCACCGUAAGUGAGGAGAGAAUCGAGUCCGAAAUGUCUGUGCAGUAUCUAUCCCCUACACCUGUGAAUGUGAAAAAACACUUUUGGUGGAAGUUCUGGGACACAUCCAACAAUUAAACACCACCCUGUGAAAAUAUUCCCAGUUGUCCUUCAAAAAAGCUGAAUUUAAUGGCAACUGUGGCUGGAGGAGUUUCCCUAUCACAAAAGAACCCGAAAACAUAGAUGACUUGUACCACAAUAAUGCUGAGAAAAGCUAAUGCAUAACUGAGAAAAUGGGCUGUGAGUAAUUAGGAAGGGAGGGAAAUGUAUUAGCCAAGUGAAGCCCCCCUUCCAGAACAGAUCUGACCUGUUACAAUCACUCUCUGGAGGAAGAAAUUGAACGAUGGAAAGGAAAAGAGGGAUGCUGACAGAGAUACUGAGCAGAAUUCCUGGUCAUACUCCGGGGAUGGUGAGGCAGGACCACUUUUAGCUUGCAUCAAAUACAUGUGCAGGAGGAAAAAAAAAAAAAAAAGAAAAAAAAAGAAAGAAAGAAAAGAAAAAACAAGCUAAGUACACCACGGGAGUCCUUCCUUCAGCCUCUACACGCACACAACUGGCCUGACAGACGGCCCUGAUUUACUCCACAGGCUCACCUGGUACACAGACCUGUUGUAUGGUGCUUAAUUACUUUAUGUAGAGUAACUGCUCAGUACCACACAGGGACAAAUAAUAUUAUACAAUAACAUUAAUAAUGCCUACUACAACAGGAUUAUAUCCUUUCAGCUAUCCUGGUAUAGCUCUGUGACUUGCCACCAGGUGUGGACACAGUGGGAUUUUUCAGCCUCUCUCUCCAUAUUUCCAAUCACGUACCUUUGCUUCAGUUUAAUUUCAUCCCUUCUAAGGCUACCAUUGCUUUAGCGAUUGCAGGGAAAAAUAUUACAGUUCAGCCAGUGGAGACACAAAGACAUGCAGUGCAGGGAAAUCAACGCUUGAAAAUAGGACUGUUAAAAGCAUUUUACGUUUCUGAUACUGGAGGUGGAGUUUGUGGAGAGUCAGAAAGUAACUGACCAAACAGACCAAAGUUGAGUGAAUUUUGGCGCUUUCUUCCAAAAGUAGGGGUUUUGAGAGAGAUCAAAUGGUUCCUUUCUGACCUUCGCAUCUUAUCUAGGAGGUGACAGAUCCUGAAGCAUCUUUUGGAGCAUAUCAUAUCUGGGCAUCAAAGACAUCUAGAAAAAAAAAAUUCACAAAAGCUCCUCUGCCUACAGACAGAAGUAUAACCAGAUACAACGACAAGGAAAUUGAAGCUAAGUAGAUUCUGACCAAAAAUAAGACACUCAUUUUUAACGGCCAAAGGCAAUUAACCUAGGAGCGCUCCUGAAGGACAGCGGAUGGUUUUCCAUCACUCGGUGUUUUUACACCAAGGAUAGAUAUUUUUUAUCUAGACAGAUGUGGUUCAGACAAGGCAGCCUUAUGGCCAGCGUUACACAGAAGGUCAGAGCAGACGGGCGAGGAUCCUGGCUCCUCCACAACCUGCCCAGCCGCUCACCUACUGACUCCCCGGCGCUGCUCCCGCAGCACAUAGCCUUGUUGUUCACAGUCUGUUUCCCCACGGAUGACCAGACCUGACCCUGCUGAGAUUACAAAAGCCAAAGGGUUCAGAAGUGAGGAAAACAGGAAAUCCAAACAGUGAAAAUCUCAGCAAUAACGUUUCCUAACAAAGACCUUCAGAUCUCACUCUCAGCCAACAGCUGUCUUCGUGACGUCCAAAAAGGACGAUGUUUAGUGCGGUAAAGACCGUCUUUCUGCCACUUAUUUUUACCCUGUUUAUUUUUCUAUACUGUGACAUUUUCCUCCUUGUUAAAAUCUUGGUCAUAAAUGAGGGUGCUAGCCCAGACCUAAGAAAACAUACACAAAUGUAUGGACUCCAUACGCUGCAAACCCACAGGAUGCAAUUCGCCCUCCAGAAAACCAAACCAAAACCUGUGCACCACGCAAAUUCCCCUUUGGGCUACUCCUUUGGAGCACUUCCCCUUUGGAGAGCUGAAAUGAGAUGUGCUGGCACUUCACUUACUGUACCACGGGGUCAAACACCGCAAAGCAGCUCCAAACGUUAUCCGGUGGGGAAGCAAGAGCAAAAGCUGAAGAGUGAGGAAAGCUUAAUUUUGAAGGAAAAAUGUCAGGUUUGAUUGCGUUACUGGUUUUGUAUUUUAGAUCUUAUCCAAAUUUCCUGACCUCAUAGCACAUACGUGCAAAUCGCACGCAUGGUUGUGACAUCCAUGUGAGCUUUGUGGGCCAAAUCAGGGGCGUGGUGUAAAGUGGUGCAGCACCUGUGUCACUGGGUCAUAGGUGAAGACCUUGUCCUAGGUCUUUGCAGAAAGCAUUAAGAGAAUUUAAGGUGGCUGAAGAGGUAGUUUCAGUUUUAAGGUCUGGAAGUUGCUUUGCACUCAAAUUUUAAAUUUUGUCCAUUUUUUUAGGUGAAAUUUGACUUUUCUCCCCGGCAGUACGGGCAGGGCACGUGUGUGCCAUUACACUGCCAUCUAGUGAUGCGACUUUGCAAGGCAAAAGAGUUGGCAAAAGAUGGCUGGCCACCAGCAAGAGCCAGAGCCCAAGUUGUGAAGGGAAGGGCCAGAAUUAAGUUAAAGUAAACGAGACAAAAAAAGAACUGCAAAAGGCACAGCCAGUGGUGGCCCCUCAAACACGUACAGGGAAGAAUAGGAUAACGAAAUGCAUGCAAGAUGGGGUUGCAAAGGAGCUCAUCCAUUAUCCAGCUGUUACCCAUUGCAGGGCUCAUCGGGAGAGAUAGUUUUGCAACUCCAGGUCUCAAAGUCCAGCUUCUCGGCUGAUGCUAGCUGCCCUUGCUCUACCACGCUCAUGUUCUGCCAAGCUCAUGGUCAAGCAAAGCCUGCACAGAAGCUUUUCACAGGAGCAACCCUCUUUCAAGCACCUAAAUCUCUUUGGCCAUCUUUCUCCCAGCCUUACUGGGCACAUUUCUCAGCAUUACUCCCUCCUGAACUUAACGCAGUUGUAUCAGGAGAUCUGGGCCAAAUUUAUUCUCUUUGUAAGUGAUUUCAGUGGUGUCCACCUUGGACCACUUUGUCUCUAUCCACAGCCAUUACUACCGUGAAUCAGCAUCCAGAAAGAUUUCCUCAGCUGCACUUCACACUGCUUGUAGACGAUCCUCGUGCUCAAGGGUUGGACAGCAAAGCUAAGGCUUAACACAUGAACCUGAAAUGAACUGACCUUUAUGAGUCAAAAUCCCAAUCCUAAUGUUUUACUCAUCUUGAGGAUAUUUGUCCUCAGUGGUAUGUGUGUCAGAGGGCGUGAAAGUGAGAGUGUCUUGAGGUUAACAAUUGUUCAUACUCAUAGUGGAUGAAUCAUAUGAUAACACCACAGCAACAUCCUGUAUAAUUGUCGGGAGCCUCUAUUUCUGGCAGUGUGUCCCUAGGCUGUCUCAUGAGUAAAUGUUAUUUGUGCUUUACUAUAUAAAACCAAAACCAAACAAAAUUAUACAACGGGACACUAUUCUGCAGGCACUAGCCAAAAUCACAAGUGCCUAAUUGAGCCUUCAGUAACCCUCUUCAGUGAUAAAUUGUGUGAUGAAGUUAAUAAGACUGAGAUGGAUAUCUCUGCUCUUCAGCUGAUUAGUACAUGAGCAACUCUCCACAUGUGAGUAACAAUAUUUGUGUUUCCUUAGCCACAAUUGAACUCAGUGGGACUAUCACAUACGUAAAGAUCUGGGACAUCGCUCGCGAGGCAGUGGGUGCUGAGGGAGCGAGCGUUGCAUUGCAUUGCAGCUCAGAAGAUUUAUGUUUUCCUUCUGGACAGCUACAAGCAAGUCGCUCCCCCUCUUUUCUCCCUCCCUGCCGGCUGUUCAGACCUGCUGUCUGCGGGCUUUGCUGCACCAGGAGCACGCCCAGCCCGCUGCACCACCCCAAGCACGUGCGUACCUGUGGAAAGCAAAAUCCAGCACAGCAAGCACACCACAAGUUGGAUUUAAAGCAAAAUCCUUGGCCUGCAGGAAGAACACCGACUCUCCGUACCAUCCUCAGCACAAAAAGGCACCAAUUUGGCAUGGAGCCCCUGUAUUGGGGUUUCAGACAUAUAUUUUUAUGGCACCAGGGCUGCCCAGAUAACCUGCUCGGCUCCUCUCGGGUGCCUGUAGGGUGCCUGUCCCGCAGUCCUCCCUUGGGAUGCGCUUCCUCUGGACACUCCUGUAGGACGCACACUUAGGGCAGAGGCCAGUUCUUGUUUGCCUUUGGAAGGUGAUGGCAGGAUUUUGGCUGGCGGUUUGUGACUCCGAAUCCGAAGCAGCAACAAAACAAGGCGCUGGCAAACGCAGCUAGCUUUUGUCCCCUGAUCACAGAGGCUUCGAGGGAACCAUGGGUAAAACAGCCUGGGAAAAAUCAGGCAAAUGGCACAACCACCUUUUCGCGUGGAAUAAAGCUCUCAAUGCCAUAAACCUAUCCCAUUCAAAAAUUUCAGAACAAAUGUCGAUUUCUCAUUAGGAAAAAAAGCUUCUUGUUUUGAUGGUUCCUAGCUUUAGUACUACAUGCUCAUAUCUUCAAGAAAAAUCCAAAAGCAAUGCAGAGUUUUUUUCAAUCUUUCCAUACUGAGCACAGACUGUAUUAUAAAAAUAGAAAAUAUUAUGAUGAAAUGGUAAAUUCCAUUUAAAUGUA